AUGGCUAGUGCAAAUGAUAUGUGGGAGAAGAAGCUGCAGGAUCCAAGUGCAACUCCAGUGUGUCUGCCACUAGAAUUUUUGAAAGCCAUCACAUGUGAUUUUUCCUCCGAGCGAGAACUCGGCAGGGGUGGGUACGGAGUAGUUUACAAGGGAAUUCUUUCAGAUGGGAAAAGCAUUGCUGUAAAGAAGCUUUUUCACUUACAUGGGCUGGGAGAUGAAAAAUUCCUAAAAGAGGUCAAUUCUCUUAUGAUGACCAAGCACCAGAAUGUAGUGCAGUUUGUUGGUUACUGUGCUGUAUCAAGUGCCGAGGCGGUGGAAUACCCGCAAGGAGGAAGCAAUUAUAUUUUGGCCGAAAGACCAGAAAGAUUGCUUUGCUUUGAGCAUGUAUGUAAUAGAAGCCUUGACAAGUAUAUCUCCGAUGAAUCUUCGGGCCUUGAGUGGAAAAUGAGAUAUAAAAUAAUCAGGGGCAUCUGUGCUGGUUUGCAUUACCUUCAUGAGGAAUGCCAUCUUGUUCAUCUAGACCUGAAGCCUCAAGAUAUAUUGAUGGAUGCUAUUAUGAUGCCAAAGAUUGCGGCCUUUGGUUUGUCAAGGAUAUUUGGUGUUGAGCAAACCCGAACCAUCACUCAAAAUCGUCAGGGAACGAUGGAUAUAUGGCGCCAGAGUACUCAAUUCAAGGCACUAUCUCCGUCAAGGCAGAUAUAUACAGUUUGGGUGUCACCAUUAUUGAGAUACUCACCGGUUCUAGAGACUAUCCCCUACACUUCAACGAGGACAACAGUCCCCAUAGUACAGACACAUCUUUCCAGCACUUCAAAGACAGAAUACUUGGAGCUUGGAGAAAUAGGCUGA
rnacentral:rRNA from 1 species